GGACUACUGGGGUUUCUAAUCCUGUUUGCUCCCCACGCUUUCGUGCAUCAGUGUCAGUUACAGGCCAGUGAGCCGCCUUCGCCACCGGUGUUCCUCCCAAUAUCUACGAAUUUUACCUCUACACUGGGAAUUCCACUCACCUCUCCUGUACUCAAGCGAUGCAGUCUCAAAAGCAAUUCCUGGGUUGAGCCCAGGGAUUUCACUCCUGACUUGCAAAGCCACCUACGCACCCUUUACGCCCAGUAAUUCCGAACAACGCUAGCCCCCUUCGUAUUACCGCGGCGGCUGGCAC
rnacentral:rRNA from 1 species